AUCACCCACAAUGUGUUCUCCAUCUCAUCAAAUGUAUGCAUACAAUCAUCUCUCGUUCCGUUUUGGCGGAACGUAUACCUAUACCUCUUUUUAUUUCUCUUUAUUGAUAUUAAAAGGGCAUCGGAGGUAUAAAAAAGGAGUGUCAUCAGCGACGAUGAUCAUCGAUUAUCAUGUUUUAAGACUCUUUCUAAAGGUUCUUUUGUUCGAAAAGUUUGG
ensembl:ncRNA ZK381.38 ncRNA